rnacentral:rRNA from 1 species
CCUACGGGCGGCAGCAGUGGGGAAUUUUGGACAAUGGGGGCAACCCUGAUCCAGCCAUUCCGCGUGAGUGAAGAAGGCCUUCGGGUUGUAAAGCUCUUUUGUCCGGAGCGAAACGGGCGGCCCUAAUACGGUCGUCUACUGACGGUACCGGAAGAAUAAGCACCGGCUAACUACGUGCCAGCAGCCGCGGUAAUACGUAGGGUGCGAGCGUUACGCGGAGUUAGUGGAGGUAAUUCUUGAGGCGAGAUGUGAAAUCCCCGGGCUCAACCUGGGAAUGGCAUUUGGGACUGCAAGGCUGGAGUGUGGCAGAGGGGACUAGAAUUCCUGGUGUAGCGGUGAAAUGCGUAGAUAUCAGGAGGAAUACCGAUGGCGAAGGCAGGUCCCUGGGUUAACACUGACGCUCAUGCACGAAAGCGUGGGGAGCAAACAGGAUUAGAUACCCUAGUAGUC